CCCUUAGAUGUUCUGGGCCGCACGCGCGCUACACUGAUUCAUGCAACGAGUUUUGUCCUUGGCUGAAAGGCCUGGGCAAUCUUUGAACGUGAAUCGUGCUGGGGAUAGAUGAUUGCAAUUAUUCAUCUUCAACGAGGAAUUCCUAGUAAACGCAAGUCAUCAGCUUGCAUUGAUUACGUCCCUGCCCUUUGUACACACCGCCCGUCGCACCUACCGAUUGAAUGGUCCGGUGAAAUCUUCGGAUCUGAGAGAUGUUGGAUUAAUUUCUGACGCCUUUUGGAAAAGUCGCUUAAACCUUAUCAUUUAGAGGAAGGUGAAGUCGUAACA
rnacentral:rRNA from 1 species